AUCUCGCACGGAAGCGCCCUUUUUGAGGAAAUGGUGCCAAAAACGGGAAAGGUGUAAGUAACUACAGCGUAACCAAAAAAAAAAUCCUCAGGAAAUUUAUAAAAGUCCUUGGUUGGCUCAACUUCGACUUCUUCUGAAUGAUUGCUUUUUUUUGGUUCAAUUUUUCCUUUCUUUCUUUUUUUCUUCUUCUUCUUUAUGUAUGCAAUCACUGCUUUUUUCCCCUUCUAUUCUUUUGAGCCCUUUUUUUCCAUUAAUUUUCUUUGCUUCUAACUUUCCAGCAGCUAGUUAACCUUAACUUCUUUUAUACUUUUCUUUCUGCUGUUUCGUCAUCAGCCUUAACUCUUGAUCCGACUCUUGGCAUCUUGCGGGUUGGAGGGUGUAUCUUCCGAUCAGAUAGAUGGCUUGCUUCGAGUUGGUUGCAUGGGCAGGGCUUCAGGGAUUUUCUACGAGCUGUUGGUUUUGCUUUGCUAUGAUUAUUGUAUAUAGAGCUUCUUUGUAUUGGUAGAGAACCAUGCCCAAG
rnacentral:sRNA from 1 species